rnacentral:rRNA from 1 species
AUGAACAUUGCCCUCCUGAUAAGGUGGCUUUGGUGGAUUACGAACGGAGAGGGUGUCCUGUGGCUCCGCACCAUUCAACAGAAAUACCUCUAUGUCCAGCCGCUCGCCUUCUAUCAGCGAUCCGAAGGCUCUUAGUUCUAGCAGUCCAUCAUACAGCUACUCCUAGUCCUUCGCAUCGGGACUUCGAUUGUGGUUGGAUCUGGCACGUCCAUGUUGUUUUGGUUCGAUCGUUGGGCUGGUAAUGCCCCCUUCGCGGCAUGCUUUCCUGACUUCUUCGCCAUUGUGUUCAAACCGAGGAUCUCCGUUGAGGUGGUAAUUAUUGACUUAGGGCACUUGGCAUUCCGGUGACCAUUCGGUCCGGCGAAAAACGCCGAUUGGCAGGACUUGCUUGCCUGCAUCGUGCUGCACCAGCCGGACCUGGACAUAGGGGAUGACCGCACCAUGUGGCGACUAGAGUCAUCUGGUCAAUUCUCCACUAAAUCCCUAUACCAGGCUAUCGCCUCCUCCCUAGAACCCAAGGCUCUUACCGCCAUCUGGGAGAUCCGGCUCCCCUUGAAGAUAAGGAUAUUCCUGUGGCAAUGGAUCCACGACUGCCUCCCAUCCGGCAUGGAGGUACUGAAGCUCAACGGCCCCGGUGACGGGCUAUGCCCGCUCUGCGGGACUGGAGAGGAUUUGAACCAUAUCUUCUUCACCUGCGUCUCCAUGCAGUCCCUCUGGAUCUAUUUCCAUGAAAUAGUGGGUGGAAGCUAG